GCACCUUCCCCCGAACUGGCGAGUGUGCAUAGCGCAGACGGGAGUCAGUCAGCGGUCAGCGUGCCGGCUGUGUCACAGUCGUGCAGGCUUUCGGAAGCUGUGUUCAGGAGAGCAACAUUCAGGCCCCACGGUGGAAGACGGAAGACAGCAGAUGGAUUCCUAAGAUGUCUCGAUUAUCCCUGAGGUUGGACCUGACCAUCUGCAGCGCACUACUCCAGUAAUGGACGGGCGAAGCUGAUACGCGGCCAUAGGCCCGUCGUCCAUACAAGCGCUGCCUCUCCCACUGUCCACACACCCACCUGAGUUACCGUUGUUACAACCCAUGAACCGGCACAGACACAUCAUUAUCAUCCAGAGUCCACAGUGGAUAUCAUGGUUCACUGCUGGGAUCGUAAGGCCGUUGAAUUUCAACAGAUAUGUAAAGGCCUGGAUCCAGCAUUACAGUUUGUCCUUCCCAGAAUGUCAUCUUCUCGCAGCCCUACAGCAUGUGGUUUGCUCAGAUUCUGGCUUCUUCCAGCGGU